GCCACAUGAUGUUCUCUAGAUAACAUUAGCAUUCUGUGCAAAGAUGACCUCUCAUCUAUCACCCGGGACUGAUGGUU